UAUACUAUCAUAUCAUCUGCAAAUAGUGAUAUUUUGACUUCUUCCUUUCAAAUUUGUAUCCCUUUGACCUCCCUUUGUUGUCUGAUUGCUCUAGCUAGGAUUUUGAGUACUAUAUUGAAUAGGUAGGGAGAGAGUGGUCAGCCUUGUCUAGUCCCUGGUUUUAGUGGGAUUUUUGAUUCAAGUUUCUCUCCAUUUAGUUUGAUGUUGGCUACUGGUUUGCUCUAUAUUGCUUUUAUCAUGUUUAGGUAUGGGCCUUGAUUCCUGAUCUUUCCAAGACUUUUACCAUGAAGGGGUGUUGAAUUUUGUGAAAUGCUUUCUCAGCAUCCAAUGAGAUAGUCAUGUGUUUUUUUUUCUUUGAGUUUGUUUAUAUAGUGGAUUACAUUGAUGGAUUUUCAAAUAUUGAACCAUCCCUGAAUCCCUGGGAUGAAGCCUACUUGAUCAUGAUAGAUGAUUACUUUGAUGUGUUCUUGGAUUUGGUUUGCAAGAAUUUUAUUGAAUAAUUUUGCAUCAAUAUUCAUAAGGGAAAUUGAUCUAAAGUUUUCUCUCUUUGUUGGGUCUUUGUGUGGUUUAGGUAUAAGCAUAAUUGUGGCUUCAUAGAAGGAAUUGGGUGGUAUUACUUCUGUUUCUAUUUUGCGGAAUAGGAGUAUUGGUAUUAGGUCAUCUAUGAAGGUUUACUAGAAUUCUGCACUAAACACAUCUGGUCCUAGGCUUUUGUUGGUGUUGUUGUUGUUGUUGUUGUUGUUGUUGUUGUUGUUGAGGGACUGUCUUAGGGUUUUAUUGCUAUGAAUGGACACCAUGACCAAUGCAAGUUUUAUAAAGGACAACACUUAAUUGGAGCUUUACAGGUUCAGAGGUGGGAGCAUGGCAGCAUCCAGGGAGGCAUGGUGUAGUAGGAGCUGAGUUCCACAUCUUCACCCAAUGGAAGCCAAGAACAGACUGAGCAUCCUCAGGCAGCUAGGACGAGGGUCUCCAAGCCCACCUCCACAGUGAUACACUUCCUCCAACAAGGCCACACUUUCUAAUAGUGCCACUCCUUGGCCUCUAUAGGCUUCUUCAAACACAUGAGACUAUGGAGGCCCUACCUAAAAAUAGCAUAAUAAAAAAGUACAUUUAGUCCAACUUGCAAAGUCCCCAUGGUCUAAAGUGGUAUCAACAACGUUAAAAGUCCAAAGUUCAAAGUCUCUUCUGAGAUCCAUCCAAUCACUUAAAUGUAAUCCCCAAAUUAAGACAGGCAACCAGGUAGGCAAAUUUCAAACUUCCAUCUCCAUGUCUGAUGUCAAAGCGAUCUUCAGAUCUUCAACUCCUUUUUCAUCUUUGCUGUGUGCAACAAACUUCUUUCUUCUGAGCUCAUUCCACUCCCUGUUAGCAGCUUUUCUCAGCAGAUAGCCUGUGGCUCUGGCAUCUUUAACAUCUUUAGGUCUCCAAGGCAGCUUCAAUGUUACAGCUUGUUUCAAUGUCUGGGAUCCAUACACGAUCCUCCAAAGGGAUGGCUUCACUUCUCCAGCUCUGCCCUCUGUAGCAGUUUAACUUCAUGUUGAUCCACACUACACUGUUGCUGUUGUUCUUGGUGAUCAUCCCAUGGUAUUGGCAUCUCCAAUACAUUGGAGUCUUCCAUUGCAACUAGGCUUCACCAAUAGCCUCUCAUAGGUUCUCUUCAUGGUCCUAAGCCUCAACUCCUUUGCAUGACCCCUUCAGUCCUGGAUUGUCAGCUGUAACUGGUGCUGUACCUUCACCAGUGUCCUUCCAUGGUCUCUCAAAGUUCCAAGCCUCAGCUGUUCUUCAUGAUGCCUUCAUGCCUUUAAAACCAGUAUACAUUACCAAGUACAGCUGCAGCAUGAGGUACAACCUUGACUAUCCCUGGAACACAGCUUCUUUGUGCUCUAAGAAAACAGUUCCCUGAAGAUUUAUCCUCAGUGAUGCUGAUCUCUUUCUUAGCUAACCUGCAUCAAUUGUCCCAGUAGUCUCCUUCUCUUGACUAUAAAGCCAGAGACACAUGACCAAAACUGCUGAGUUCUGCUGCUUGCAGGAGGUGGAACAUGGCCUCCUUGUUCUAUUCCAUUAUGACUAGCUUCCUCUUUUCUAACUCCUUCACUGCCUCAGCCUGGUUGUCCAGGAUCUUGCUUUGUAGAUUGACCUUGAAUUUAGAGAUCUGAUGCGUGUCUUCUGGGAUUAAAGGUAUGUGCCACCACACCUGGAUUUUCGUUUUUCUUCACCUAGAACUUGUUCUGUUGUAGGCUGGCCUUGGACUCAGAGAUCUGCUUGUCUUUGCCUCCUAGGAUUAAAGGUUUGUACUAAGUUGCCUGCAGCUAACUUAGCUGGGUGGGAUCUUGCCCCAAGGUCAUUGUUCCCGUAAUUCAACUUAAUAUCCUUGAACACAGGAUUCAGCUCCAUUUCAUUUCCUGGUGUCCCUUUAAUACUUGCACCAUAUAUUUUGUUUUGUUUUUUUUUCUUUUUGAACCUCCCUUUUUUCAUUAAAAUGCUCUUCAUGAGAUACGCCUGGGAAGCCAGAGGAGACUACUCUCUACCCACAUUUCUGACCCUAGAGGAAAACACCUAGCGCCAUCUGGACCCCUGUGCACAGGGUCACGAGAGAAGGCUGGGCAGGCUCUUCUUGGUUGCUGCCCUCACAGAGAGCUGAAUCCCGGCUCUAAGGAACAACUUCAAGCCCGAGACCAGAGUCACAAAAUGGAAGCCCUGUGCUGUGCAAGUGGCCAAAGCAAAGGAUGAAGGUGUGGAGAGAGCUGAGAAAAAAACCGGCCUUUCUUCAGAAAUUCUCUGCUGUGGGAGACAAGCUCGAGGGCAUGUCCAAAAGCAAAGACAGCAAAGAAAGCUGAAACAUACUAUAGAGGAUGGCAGGACCCUCCUCAGAUGGCAAACGUAUUCUCGGGAAAGAGCCUGGUCUCCUGAAUACCUUUGUAGAACAGACCCAUCAUCUCCUUGACCACACGUGACUGUGAGGAGUGCAAGGAGUAAACACUUCACGUGAGUCAGAGGUUAGCCCACCUUCGCCAAUGGUGCUCUGGCUUCUGGAGUCUUGUCUUUGUUUCUUAAGAACUUGCUAGGAGGUAAGAGCUCAGCACCAAGUCCAAAAGUGAUCUCUUUAACAUUGCUGUCGUCACUCCCAUCUCUACUGUAAUCCUACUCUUAGCUUAAGGAUAUGUCCUCAUCUGGGAGCUACUCAGUUAGACCACUGAUCUAAAGACUGAGAAGCUUAAGGAUAUGUCCUCAUGUGGGAGCUACUCAGCUAGACCACUGAUCUGAAGACUGAGAAGCUUAAGGAUAUGUCCUCAUGUGGGAGCUACUCAGUUAGACCACUGAUCUGAAGACUGAGAAGAUAAGCCUAAAAAAAUAAGUCACCUGCAGUGACCAAGAUGCCCAAAUGAAGGUACUUGAAGAAUUUGUACCUUCUGUACUAAUGUCUCUGGUGCACGGAUGGGGCUGGCCUUUCCUGUUUGUAACCACUUUGAAGUGGCCCUGUUUUAAAUUAUCCUGUGUUUGUAAGCUGCAUAUCCCAAACACAUAAAACAACAGUGUUACAAUAUAACUAUUUUGGGGGAAAGAAAAUCAAGUCAGAGACAUCCUUUAAAGCAAUGUAUUCUCCCUCACCAGACCAUUCUUUAUAGGGGUCUUUUUCAGAUACAUUAUCUGAAAAAAGAGUUUUCUGUUGAACUCUACAGGCUUUGUAGUCUGUGGUUCUGGCUGAUAUUCAGCAAUGGAUCCCUGCAUGCACCGUGCUGUGGAAAGGGCCUAUCCUGAGUGGUACCUGCUCAAACCCUAACUCAAGAGGGAUACGAGACCUUCUUCUAAAGAGGUGGUAUCUACAGUUAAGUCAAAGCAGGAAGCAGUAAAAAAAACAGAUGUACUGGUUUGUGUCUUUGGAAUGGUCCACAGACUAAACAAAAUAAACAAUACCUUGUGGAAAGCAUUACUAUAGGUGAGGGACUGUGAGAAAUGGAAUAUAGGAAGACCUAUGGAGGCAUUUUCUAAAUUAAUGAAUAAUAUGGGAUGGGAGGGGGCUCACUGGAGGUGGUGCCAUGCCUGGAUGCGGAAGUUUUAGACUAAAAAUGAAAACAGGGUGAGCAAGCCAUGGGGAGCAAGCCAGUCUGCAGGUUCCUUCCAUGGUUUCUACUUCAGGUCACAUCACCAAGUUCCUGUUUUGAUUUCCCUCAGGGAUGCAACAUUACCUGGAGUUGUAAGCCAAAGUAAACUCUUUCUUCCCCAAAUUGCUUUUGGUCAUGGUGUCCUUAUCACAGCAAUAAAAGCACUAACACACCUCUACAACACAACCCACAGCAUUACAGAGCUCCCACCUCCCAGUGCCCUAUUAAUCCCCAGUCCAUCUAGACUGGAGGCAGCCCCAUCACCUACUCUUAAAAGACAAUCUAGGAGGCCUAUUGUUACCUGUCCCUCCCUGUCAAUUACAAAACCUCCCACAGGUUUUGUUGUUUGUUUUGGUUGGCUGGUUUUGCAUUUUUUAGCUAUGAAUUUCUCAGUGCUUGGCCACAAGAGAAAAUCAACCUAAGUUUUCUGAAAAGAACCAGUUCUUUCCUUAACUCCUAGGGCAACAUACUUUUCCAGUCCCUUGUCAUUUCAAGAUCCAACAUUUCAGUACUAGAUAAAAUCUCAGUGGCUCAGCAGAUCAUUUCUUGUGCCGUGUCUCUGCUUGGGCUACUCUCACUAUCCAGAACGGCUUCAACUUUCAUUUGUCUGACCUCCUACUGUCCUUAAGACAGAAGGUAGAGAUUGGCUUGUUCAUGAUUUUUCCCACCAAGCACUGGCUUGGGAUGCACCACUUCAGAUUUUGAGUAAUCAUGAAUGUGUUCCUUGCCCUGGCAGAGUCUCUGGGUAGUGUUAACGUUCCAGCUAUGAGAUCGGCAAGUGGGACCAUUGUAGAGGGCUCUCAUCCACCCUGCUAGAGCUUCCACCCACUUUAUCUCCAGUGAGGGUACAAACAUCUGUGCCACAACUCCAUAGACAUGUAGUAUUUCUCUUGGAGUUAGCCUUUCUAGUGGUCAGUACUUCUCUGGCUUGAUAGUCUCAGUGCUUGGCCACAGGAGAAAAAUCAAAUAAGUUUUCUAAAGAAAAAUUGAGGCCCAAAGAAAAGCUAACAGGUGAAGCUAAGAUGUUAGAGCAUUAGUACCCUACAGGAGCUCCUAGAUCCUCAGCUGUAAGUCCCCCUCACCCAUACACUGGAUUUCCUGGGUCUUUAAUGCCAAUUAUUUCUUCUUCUUCUUCUCCUCCUCCUCCUCCUCCUCCUCCUCUUCCUCCUCCUCCUCCUCCUCCUCCUCCUCCUCCUCCUCCUCCUCCUCCUCCUUCUUCUUCUUCUUCUUCUUCUUCUUCUUCUUCUUCUUCUCCUUCUCCUUCUCCUCCUCCUCCUCCUCCUCCUCCUCCUCCUCCUCCUCCUCCUCUUCCUCCUCCUCCUCUUCCUUCUCCUCCUCCUCCUCCUCUUCAUCCUCCAACUCCUCCUUUCCACUCUUUUUCUUUUCUUAUACAAAGGCCAAAGCAAGUAAGGCCAUGGCCAAGCAAGCUGGUACAAAAUUGAAUUAAAUUUCUCUCUUGCAAAUCUUACAAGGAGAGUCUACAGUUUCAAACAGCAUGCUUUGCCCACAUCUUUUACAAUAGAAAUGCCUUACUCAGUAAGUGAGUUUUUGUCCUCAGAGAGGUAAUCCAGGAGUGGGAGGGACAAAGAGAAGAGGAGAGGAAAUCUGUAUGCCAUUAUAUGUGGUAAGCAUGCAGUCUUUGGAACAAUAAAGAAUAGAGGCCUCUAGAAAUCACCUUCACAAGAAAGGCUCUUUAAAGAUGUCAGUCAAUUCUAAACAACCAGGAAGCUGAGAAGCCUACUCAGGAUCACUCUCCUGGAGCAAUCCACUAAGCUGGGUAAGCGAAGGAAACCCUUGUGGUGUUGAAUUACCCCCUUUAGUUGCUGCACGGAUGAUGUCAGUAAAUCAUGAAAUACCUCCGAGCAAUGUGGUUGCAACAGACAAAUGACAUUUACC